rnacentral:rRNA from 1 species
UACGAAGGGGGCUAGCGUUGUUCGGAAUUACUGGGCGUAAAGCGCGCGCAGGCGGUCUUCCAAGUCAGUGGUGAAAGCCCGGAGCUCAACUCCGGAACUGCCAUUGAAACUGUGAGACUUGAGGAUGAGAGAGGUGAGUGGAAUUCCCAGUGCAGAGGUGAAAUCGUAGAUAUUGGGAAGAACACCGGUGGCGAAGGCGGCUCACUGGCUCAUUUCUGACGCUCAGGCG